rnacentral:rRNA from 1 species
CCUACGGGGUGCUGCAGUGGGGAAUAUUGGACAAUGGGCGAAAGCCUGAUCCAGCCAUGCCGCGUGUGUGAAGAAGGCCUUCGGGUUGUAAAGCACUUUCAGUGGGGAAGAAAGCCUUGGGGCUAAUACCCUCGAGGAAGGACAUCACCCACAGAAGAAGCACCGGCUAACUCCGUGCCAGCAGCCGCGGUAAUACGGAGGGUGCGAGCGUUAAUCGGAAUUACUGGGCGUAAAGCGCGCGUAGGCGGUCUGAUAAGCCGGUUGUGAAAGCCCCGGGCUCAACCUGGGAACGGCAUCCGGAACUGUCAGGCUAGAGUGCAGGAGAGGAAGGUAGAAUUCCCGGUGUAGCGGUGAAAUGCGGAGAGAUCGGGAGGAAUACCAGUGGCGAAGGCGGCCUUCUGGACUGACACUGACGCUGAGGUGCGAAAGCGUGGGUAGCAAACAGGAUUAGAUACCCGUGUAGUC